UCACUAUCAAUCAUCCCUUCUCUAUUCAAUCAUAAUCCUAUUUCCUUAAAACCAAAUCACGCCCUCAGCUUCUUAUUCACAAACCCUAAUUCUCUAUACUGCAUCUAUGGCGUCAAAAAAUUUCCUUAUCGCCAUAAAAGGACCCUUCUGGUUAUCAGAUACAUCAAUGGCCUCAAAAAUUCGAUUCCAAAACUCUUUUCAUCAAUGGCGAUGGCGAAUAUGGCUAGAAGAAAAACAACCAGUCUCUUUCAUGUACACUUUCCUAAGGAUUCGUGUCUGGAUCUGAUGAAAACAACGGCGUUGUUAUCGGUGGCGGCCCAGACUGAUACAUGAUUCUUUGUUGAAGAUUGGCGACAUCUCUUUGUUUCUCAUUCGUUUAUGAACAAUAACAGUUCCUGUGGUUCAGAUUGGGCUUUUGUUGAUGUAGCAAAUUUGUUUAUUCAAAACAGGGUUUUUAUCAAGGGUUGAUCACUUUUUUGAUGAAUUGGGAUGUUGACCGAAAGUUAUUCUCACUGACUCUCAAUGAUUGCUUCAGGUAUGACAUUUAUUGAUACGAUGCAAUUAACAAAUUUCAAAUUAUAGUUUUAUAUGUUUAUUUGAGGAAAUUUCAAAUUUGUUAAUAAUCGUAACCAAUAUGGAUAUUUGAAUGUUAAAUAUGUUUAUACAGAUUAUAGUUUUAUAUUUUUCUUUGUUAUAAUGUUACUUUUGAUGUAGAAAGUGGUAACUUGUGUGUGCUUUUUUGGUUGACAUUUCCUCUACAGCUUUUGUUAACUUGUGUGUGCUUUUUUGGUUGAUUUUUGCAAAUCUCUAAAGGGGCUCUCCUGUAGGAACCAUCUUACAAAGUCAAUAAUGAGUAGGAUGGGAAUGAAUAUGAAGCAAUGUUUAUUAGAUCAAGAAGAACUGGUCGUGGUGGAUGGAGAGCAUUUGCAUUAGAACAUAAAUUGGAUGAUGGCGAUGCUUUGGUUUUCAAAUUGAUUGAGCUACAAGAUUCAAGUUGAUUUUACAUUAAAAGAAUUACAAAAUUUAAGGGCAAAGAUGAGGGUUCCGUUCCGUGAUCAUCAGCAAUAUAAUGGUUAGUUUCCUUUUAAUUUUAAAGAGCCCAAUGUUCUUUGAAAUAAAAUCCAACAAUUUGCUGAAAAAUUAACCGGGGCUUUGUAAUAUAAGUUCAUAGAAGGUAUUUGAGCUCAUACAUUACAGAGGUGUUUUGCUUUGAACUAGUCAAGUACAUCAAACGGCUUAAAUAAAUAUUUAGCUCACUGUAUCUAAAUGCAUAAAAACUUUCAAAAACUGGAUCAGCAUUAUUAUAUUCUACUUUUAAAUCAUAUUAAUCUCUUCUUAUAAAACUAAUGGAUAGAGAAAGCAAAUAAAAUGUUGCAAGUUGGCCAAUCUGACUUAAUACGCAAGGUGGGAAUUUAAGUUGUGUUGAAAGGAUUAUAAAUCAUUUUUUGGCUUGUGAAGAGAAAGUUACAGUUCUUUCUACGAGAACGAUUGUUUCGGAAGUAUCGCCGUCGUCUGUACCGUUGAGGAAAGUUUCAAAGCUUGUGGAUAAUUAUACGGCGGAGGUUGCAUCUGAGGUGAAUUUGAAACCUGAAAAGAUGAAAUCGCUUGCGGAAAUUCUUCCUGAUUCUGCAAGAUCUUUGAAUAAUGGGUUGUAUAGAGCUUUGGAUGUGUAUUUUAAGGUUUGUUUCUUAUACUAGAGGUGGGAAAUGGGCGGGUCGGUGGGGUAGGUAACGAGUCAAAACUGGUAAUUUGGAUUUUUGGUGCGGGUCAAAACAGUAUGGUCUGAUUGGGUUGAUCUAGAAUAUUUUCUUUAAGUUUUUAGUAACAAGGUAACCAACUUUGGGCAAAUUUCUUUAUUAGGUAACCAACUGUAUUUAGACCACAGAAAACCACAUUAUUUUUAGAAGAGUAAAGUACACGGAUAUUCCCUAUGGUUUAUCGAAAUUUUGGAUUUGGUCCCUAACUUUCCAAAAGUACACCGAUGGUCCCUGUGGUUUGCACUUUGUAACGCAUUCAGUCCCUAACUCGGACAUGCCAAAAUUUUGGAUUUGACUUUAUUCUGACAUGACACUUGCAAAUCAAUACCUGAAGAUUACUUACAGAGUUCUAUGUGAAGUUGAAAAAUGAAGUAUAGAGUCUUUGUAAGUAGUUUAUAUGGUUUAUGACACAAGAAAAUCCAUCCUAGAUGUUUGGAUAUUGAUGACGUGGACAUCUGUUAUGGAUUUUGUUUAACCUAAAACGCUUAUAAUGUCGGGUAAUUAAGCCCGUUACAUGCUUAUUCUUUUGUGAAACGUUGCAUCUGAUUCUUAGGUGUAUAGACACCUGAUUCUUAAUUUUUUAAUCCUAUAUUUUUUGGGCCAUUAAGAUUUGAUCAGGUGUCUUUGGGUUCUUUUGACCCGUUACAUGUGUAUUUGGGUUCCUAAAUUUGUAUAUGGUUCAUUGUUGAGCUCUGUCUCUUUUGUAUAUGAGCCAAGGUGGGUGGAUGCCCAACACCAAACUUUUACAUGCCAAUGCUUUCGCCAAGUCAGCAGGCACCACAUCCAGGUGGAAGUUGUGUUGAUGUUCCUGGGAAGCAGAAUCAGCAACAACCCAUUCUUCAUACGCAGCAACAGCGGAAUAGCUGGAACCUGAGUCAGCAACAAAGGUAACUGAACUGCUAUUGGAGAUAGUUCUCUCAUCGCAUGAUUGAAAACCAUGCAGUGCUAAAAAGAUUAAUUUCAAAGUCUAGAUACAUUGUUGUGGUUAUCGUUUUUUGUUUUUAUUUUUCUAAAAUGAAGGGUACAAGAAUAGGUUGAAACAACAAUAUGUCGAGUUUCCAAAGGCAGGUUCUAAACAAUUGUUCCAGGUUGUUGACGAAGUUUAGGAGUGGUGUGGUGAUGUUUAACUGCUGUUAAAUUGUUUCUAAUAUGAUAUUUAGAUGUGCCAAGGUCUCUACUAGGUGAUGUA